UACGUAGGGUGCGAGCGUUAAUCGGAAUUACUGGGCGUAAAGCGUGCGCAGGUGGUGAUGUAAGACAGUUGUGAAAUCCCCGGACUCAACCUGGGAACUGCAUCUGUGACUGCAUCGCUGGAGUACGGUAGAGGGGGAUGGAAUUCCGCGUGUAGCAGUGAAAUGCGUAGAUAUGCGGAGGAACACCGAUGGCGAAGGCAAUCCCCUGGACCUGUACUGACGCUCAUGCACGAAAGCGUGGGGAGCAAACAGG
rnacentral:rRNA from 1 species